GAUGAAGAACGUAGCGAAAUGCGAUAAGUAAUGUGAAUUGCAGAAUUUAGUGAAUCAUCGAAUCUUUGAACGCAUAUUGCGCCCGCCAGCACUCUGGCGGGCAUGCCUGUUCGAGCGUCAUUUCAACCCUCAGGCCUCGCGUCUGGCGUUGGGGCGCUGCGGCCCUCCCGCAGGCCCCCAAAUUUAGCGGCAGAUUCCCCGCGGCCCUGAGCGCAGUAGAGAGUAAAAACUUUAACGCUCCGGCGGCCGUGGCGCGGUUCUGCCUCUUUCCCAAUAGCGCCAAUAGCGCCACCCCCAAAAAAGUUGACCUCGGAUCAGGUAGGACUACCCGCUGAACUUAAGCAUAUCAAUAAGCGGAGGA
rnacentral:misc_RNA from 1 species